UAGGUAGUUAGAAUACAGAGAGGCGAAAGACUGUCCGCAAUACGGAUUGACUAACAACGAUGGAAGUUAACGAGAAUACGCACUUCGCAAACUUGGAUCGGUUGAAUGGCCAUGUAGUUUAUUCAUGGUCUGGUUUUCUCGUUUCUU